UGGAUAUUUACCUGCAAAACAGUACAGUUUUUAUUUCUUGCUUGCCUGAUUCUGUUCCUUCCAACCAAAUUUAGGGUUAGAGACUUAGAGUUAAAUUCUUAUAGAUUUUUUUGUUCUACCUGUGUUUUACUUGUUGGUGUUUUUCAGGUUUUCUCCCAGAAGAAUUGGAUAAGUUGUGUGUAAAGUAUGUAUACCCAGCAUUUACCCCAACAGUUGUUUUCUUUUUUGGGGGAACGAUCGUGUAUGGUGUCUCUAAAUACCUGCAGAACGAAAAAGAGAAUAACCAAAAUUUAUGAUUUCUUCAAUGUAAAUAAGUUCUUGGAUUCCUUGGCUGCACCUUUUGCUUUGCUUCUCAUUGCAAUGGUCAUAAAGAUGUAUGGCCUUUGAGUUUUUUAUUUGAGAAUCUGCCAAGGAUAAUGUAAUUCUAUAUUUUCAUAUCAUACCUACAUCGGCAUUCUGCAUACUAACAUUUUACAGUGAGCAUACUUGCAUCUGAAAGAGUUCCAUUGCAAGUCGAGUAUGCUAAUGGUUACGACUUUUGAGUAGAGCUGCUAUAGACACAUACACCAGGAAAACUCAGUUCAAGCUGCUAUAGACACAUACAUCAGGAAAACUCAGUUGAUCUGUACAUAUGCGGUGAUUCCUNGAUCUUUUUACUCAAACCUAUUACUCUUCUUUAUUCAUUCAAAAUAACUCUUUUUUCAAUUAAAAAAUUAAUGCGACGGUUGUUAUUAUUGCCCUUGGUAUGUUUUUGUAAAUAGUUAAAAAAUUACUGUAAAAAUUAAAUUUUAAGGAGAUCAAUAUAAAUAUAUAUUUGCAUAAAAAUAUAAGAGGGUCGACUGAUACUCUUGCUCCUGUUAGGAUCUCAUCUGCAAUGUUGUGCCUUAGAAUGAGUUCAGCCGAAGAGGAAUAUAUUUUUUCUAUAACACGCUUGCUCACCCUCAAAAGGGCAAUCUUAACCUGACUAAAAAAAUCAUAUCAAAACUAUGGAAUACUAUAUGUGGAGAAAAUCGAGUAAUCAAAAAAGAAAUUACUCUUAUGGUUGGUAUGUAAGUACAAGAACGGCUUUUAACUUGAUUGACAAACAAGUUGGCAGAAAAGAAGCGGCGACUGGAUUUGAAAUAAGAUUGUGUUCAAGAACAUGUUUUUCAUUUCAAAUUUUGGAUUUCAAAUGACACGAUUUGAGAUGUCAUUUCAAAUUCUCAGUUUUAUACUGGUAAUUGAAUGUCUUAGAUUUAAAAUAAAAUUUAAAUCCAAAUUAUUUUUUAUCCAAACAUAUCAUUUUAUCAAAUCUUGGAUUUCAAAUGAAAUCCAAUUUCCAAACAGACUAUAAAGAUACUUGAAUUGACACGUGAUCGUAUUUGUGUUUUUUCGCAAUUUUAUUAGUUGAUGAUCGAUUAAUUGAUUUUAAUUUUUUUUAAUUUUUUUAUAUUAUUUUCAUAUAAUUAAAUCUAUAUCUUUGUUUCCAGAAGAGUCAGUGAACUCUUGUGCAAUUGAAGCACUGUAGGAUUAGGAGAAGACAGGAUCAGCUAGUCAGUUAAUUUGGUUCUCUUUUUUUGGAAAUCAUGACUUAGUUUUAUCAUUGUUGAAAUAUUGUGACAUUUUGUUAGACUCAAAUUAUAUAUUAUUUUUUUUUCUAAUAAUUCUACAUUUGGAAUGUUUCAACUCUCUCAACUCUAUGUAGAUAGGUAUAGAUUAUUCAAAGAAUGCAAAUGUAGAAUAUUUUGUAAAACGUGUUAUCUUGCAAAAAUAUAAUUCACAAAUAUCAUUAUUUCAAUAAAAUCUUAUAAAUCUUAUAAAUUUACAAGUAAAAUAUGUAUUUUAUGCAAUAUGAACGUGUAUAUUCUUCAAACUAAACAUAUUUUAUAAAAUAAUAUAUUUUGCAAUGUUCUACUGGUAAACUAUAUGUCUACAUGGGGUGCGCAAGAUUUUCAAUAAAUAGUGAUUUUUGUAUAACAUCAUUCGAAAAAUAAUAUGUUUUAUAACAUUUUAAAAUAUAUUUUACUUAAAAAACAUAUGUCAACUUUAAGACUCCAAUGAAACUGUGGACUUAAUAGAACUUAACUUUUAUAUAUUAAUAUAAUUAUAUGCUAAUUUAUUAUAUAUAUGUUAUAUAUGUUCGUUUCGGAUAUAUCAUGUUAAAAUUUUAGUAAAAUUGAAACCAAAUUAAUCUAGCAAAAAAAUCCAAAUUUUCUGUAUGAUCAUAUGGUUCGGUCCGCUUUAUUAAGUUUUGAUAUGCGAGGAUCAUUUCUACUUUAUUUUUUUUUAACCUCAGUAUCUUAACUAUUAACAAAAUCCUGUGUCUAAAAAGAAACCCGAGUGUAGCUGAACAUAGCAAGUAGUUUAGAGGCAGAGGUACUAAACUAACCAAAUCAAACAAUGUCUCUAAUUCUCCACUCAUCUCCCACCUUUCAUUUCAAUGCCUCUAAUCUUUUUCUCAACAAAUCUCCUCACCUAUCAUUCUCCAAACCCUCAAGACUCUCCAUCAAAUCUGAAGAUUCUUCGGACCAAUCAAGUGAUGACGCAUCAUCCACCGUGGUCCCACCCAAAUCCAGCUCCACUGGUCUAGGAUUCGGCUCUUCCGCUGCUUCUCCGAGUCCAACAAAGAAAAAACAGGGGAAAAGAGAAAGAGCGGCUGUGAUUCGUAGAGACCCAGUUGAGAAACCCAAGUUUGCUGCACUAAGAGAUGAGAGUGAGUUGAAGGAGCAGGGGCAGAAUGAGCAAGCUUUCUUGCUUGCUUGGUUAGGUCUUGGUUCUAUUAUUUUUGUCCAGGGGAUUCUUCUUGCUGUUUCAGGUAUAUAUUUCAUGACCCUUUUCGAGGAAUUGUUGAAUUUAUUGAUUUGGAGUUCUUAGUAGGUUGUUUAGAGUAAUUGGAUGAUGGAGUACUACAUGAUUGUAUUGCAUUCUUGAUAUUCUGUGCGGUUUAAUUGGUAAGAAUGUAAUUACUAAUGACCUAGGGAUGAGGUGAAAAACUGUGAAUUGUGCAGAAAAGAAAAUGAAGAGGGUAGAGUGAUGAAAAUGUGAGAGCGAUUUUUUUAUGGUGGGAUAGAGAAUUAUAGAGCUUUAGUUCGUAUUUUAAAGGGUUAAUAAUCAAAUGAGUCACCAAAGUGGGUUCGAUAUAUCAAUUUGGUCACUAAACUCAAAACCGUCUCAAAUUAGUCAUUUAAGUCGGUUAUACGUAUCUUUAAAUAUGAGUUGAAGGUGUAAAAAUAUUAUUUACAGAGGUUUACGCAUUAUUAUUGAAUGUUAUCACAACUAAGUACAAUGUUUUAUAAUAAUAUAUUUUGAUUUUAUCAAGUUUAUUUAUUAUUUAUUUUUAAUUAAAACAAAGGAAUUAACUAUAUAAUAAAAAAUAAAUAACAAAUAAAUUUGAUAUAAUCUAAAUAUAUUAUCAUAAAUACUAGAAGUCAUAACCUUGUACUUAGUUGUGGUAACAUUCAAUAAUAAUGUGUAAAUCUAUGUAAAUAAUACUUUCACUCUUUGAACUCACAUUUAAAGAUACAUGUAACUGUGACCAAUUUGAGACGGUUUUGAGUUCAGUGACCAAUUUGAUAUAUCGAGUUCACUUCGGUGACUCACUUGAUUAUUAACCCGUAUUUUAAAUGAACAAGAAUGGAAUGAAAAUGUGUGAAGAAUAGGGAGGUGGAAAUUUUGAUGCAGAGGGGAGAGUAAAAAAGAGAGCAAAUUUACUAGGGUGAGAUUGUGUUAAAGAUUCAAUCUGUAUGAAUGUAAUGGAUGACUGAAUGAAAAUUAUGAAUUGAAUGAACAAUGUGGAUAUUUACCUGCAAAACAGUACAGUUUUUAUUUCUUGCUUGCCUGAUUCUGUUCCUUCCAACCAAAUUUAGGGUUAGAGACUUAGAGUUAAAUUCUUAUAGAUUUUUUUGUUCUACCUGUGUUUUACUUGUUGGUGUUUUUCAGGUUUUCUCCCAGAAGAAUUGGAUAAGUUGUGUGUAAAGUAUGUAUACCCAGCAUUUACCCCAACAGUUGUUUUCUUUUUUGGGGGAACGAUCGUGUAUGGUGUCUCUAAAUACCUGCAGAACGAAAAAGAGAAUAACCAAAAUUUAUGAUUUCUUCAAUGUAAAUAAGUUCUUGGAUUCCUUGGCUGCACCUUUUGCUUUGCUUCUCAUUGCAAUGGUCAUAAAGAUGUAUGGCCUUUGAGUUUUUUAUUUGAGAAUCUGCCAAGGAUAAUGUAAUUCUAUAUUUUCAU
rnacentral:lncRNA from 1 species